ACGAACGCUGGCGGCGCGCCUAACACCUGCAAGUCGCACGGAGCUGAGAGAAGCUUGCUUUUCUUAGCUUAGUGGCGAACGGGUGAGUAACGCGUGAGUAACCUGCCCUGGAGUGGGGGACAACAGUUGGAAACGACUGCUAAUACCGCAUAAGCCCACGAUCCGGCAUCGGAUUGAGGGAAAAGGAUUUAUUCGCUUCAGGAUGGACUCGCGUCCAAUUAGCUAGUUGGUGAGGUAACGGCCCACCAAGGCGACGAUUGGUAGCCGGACUGAGAGGUUGAACGGCCACAUUGGGACUGAGACACGGCCCAGACUCCUACGGGAGGCAGCAGUAGGGGAUAUUGCACAAUGGGGGAAACCCUGAUGCAGCGACGCCGCGUGGAGGAAGAAGGUUUUCGGAUUGUAAACUCCUGUCGUUAGGGACGAUAAUGACGGUACCUAACAAGAAAGCACCGGCUAACUACGUG
rnacentral:rRNA from 1 species